AGUGAACGCUGGCGGUAUGCCUAACACAUGCAAGUCGAACGGCAGCACAGUAAGAGCUUGCUCUUACGGGUGGCGAGUGGCGGACGGGUGAGGAAUACAUCGGAAUCUACUUUUUCGUGGGGGAUAACGUAGGGAAACUUACGCUAAUACCGCAUACGACCUACGGGUGAAAGCAGGGGAGCUUCGGACCUUGCGCGAUUGAAUGAGCCGAUGUCGGAUUAGCUAGUUGGCGGGGUAAAGGCCCACCAAGGCGACGAUCCGUAGCUGGUCUGAGAGGAUGAUCAGCCACACUGGAACUGAGACACGGUCCAGACUCCUACGGGAGGCAGCAGUGGGGAAUAUUGGACAAUGGGCGCAAGCCUGAUCCAGCCAUACCGCGUGGGUGAAGAAGGCCUUCGGGUUGUAAAGCCCUUUUGUUGGGAAAGAAAAGCAGCAGGUUAAUACCCCGCUGUUCUGACGGUACCCAAAGAAUAAGCACCGGCUAACUUCGUG
rnacentral:rRNA from 1 species